ensembl:snRNA U1 U1 spliceosomal RNA
AUACUUACCUGGCGGGGAGAUACCAUGAUCAUGAAGGUGGUUUUCCCAGGGUGAGGCUUAUCCAUUGCACUCCGGAUGUGCCGACCCCUGCGAUUUCCCCAAAUGUGGGAAACUCGACUGCAUCAUUUGCGGAAGAACACUAAAUAUUGUGGUUUUUG